GAUGAACGCUGGCGGCGUGCCUAAUACAUGCAAGUCGAGCGAACAGACGAGGAGCUUGCUCCUCUGACGUUAGCGGCGGACGGGUGAGUAACACGUGGAUAACCUACCUAUCAGACUGGGAUAACUUCGGGAAACCGGAGCUAAUACCGGAUAAUAUAUUGAACCGCAUGGUUCAAUAGUGAAAGACGGUUUUGCUGUCACUUAUAGAUGGAUCCGCGCCGCAUUAGCUAGUUGGUAAGGUAACGGCUUACCAAGGCAACGAUGCGUAGCCGACGUGAGAGAGUGAUCGGCCACACUGGAACUGGGACACGGUCCAGACUCCUACGGGAGGCAGCAGUAGGGAAUCUUCCGCAAUGGGCGAAAGCCUGACGGAGCAACGCCGCGUGAGUGAUGAAGGUCUUCGGAUCGUAAAACUCUGUUAUGAGGGAAGAACAACUGUGUAAGUAACUAUACACGUCUUGACGGUACCUAAUCAGAAAGCCACGGCUAACUACGUG
rnacentral:rRNA from 1 species